CUUUUCUACAGAGACCCGCAUGCGCGCGCAGCCCAUGGGGGGAGGAGCAACACUACGAAUGAAUGGUCGCUGCGGAGAGGCGGGAGCUCGUGCUAGGCGAGGAGGAAAUGAUGAGAUGAGAAAGGAGGCGGCAGUGGCAAGAUAAAAGGAGGAAAGGGCAGAGUAUUGCAAGGGCAUUUUUUUUGUCUCUGUAGGAAGGAGGUAUCAUAAAGAGAGAUGUUAGUGCAGCAAUUGUAGGCUUUUUUUUCCUUAAAAAAGCGACUCUUGGUUGUACAAAGACUAAGCUGUGAUUGCAGGACCCUGUUCAGUCUUAUGUCCCACGAAGUUGCUUGAACAUGGAGGGAAAUAGAGUACAGAGUACCAAAGUUGUCAGAGCCCAAGUUGGUGCUGUGGGAGAACUGACAAGAGGCUGGCAGAACUGGUCAGAGGAUCAUGCUCAUUAUCAGAGACUGAAUCCAUUCAGCAAUGACAAGCCCAUAACUCCACAUAUUGAGAGAGGAGAUCCCACUUAUGGGAAGCCCCCUGAAGGCUCCAAAACAGAACAGAGAGGGAAAGAUGCUCAUAUAAACAUGAGCAAAGAAGUAGAAGAACUAUGUUUUGUCAUAAAGAGUAGUGGACAGAGGGGGCAAGAUGGGCAUGUGAGGAUUACAUUCAAACAGCUCUUUGACAGAUAUGUGACUAUAUCUAAUAAGGUAGUGGGUGUCCUCCUGAGAGCAAGGAAACAUGGCCUGGUUGAUUUUGAAGGUGAGAUGCUUUGGCAAGGAAAAGAUGAUCAUGUGGUUAUUACCUUACUUGACUAAGAUAACUGGAUAUUAUUGCAUGCUCUGAGAACACCUUAAAAGCCUUACUUGUCAACAGUGCUAAUUGGCCAGGACACCAAAGAAAAUGCUCUUGUGUGGAAACCUGUUAAACAAAUGUAAUACUUGACUGAGUGCAUGCUUCUGCUCAUGAGUUGUCCAGUGACUGAAUGAGUAAUUUCAUUCAUGAAUUCUAGCCUACUUCUAUGUUACGAAUAAGAUUUAAAAAAACUUGAUUUGAAGCAUGAAUGGGUGGAAUAAGAAGUGGCUAUAUGGUGUUGGAAAUGGAUAUUAAGUCAUUAAUAAAAGAUCGUUGAAAUUGAAAUAA